CAAUAACAAAGAAAACAAGACUGAGGCGGCUGCAGGCAAACAGAUAAGAACUUUUAAUUACAUUUCUGAAUUACAACUUGGAGGAUAAACAAAAUGGAUGAGGUUUUCUCAUUACACAUGGAAAAGCUCGAUGUCUACGAUGUACUUCUCCUGGCCGGCAUUCUCUCGGUGAUAAUUUUAAUAUGUAUUUAAUUUAAAUGCUAUUUUAUUUCCAAGCACGUCAAAAAUGUAGCCCAACAAAUGCAAUGUCGUUGUGAAAUUACAACGCGAAUGAUGUACCAAAGCGUAAUUUGUAAAACAUAUGUGGCGAACUAGUGUUGAAAAACGAGCAACACGGCAGCUAGAGAUGGGCAUCAUUUAUGUACAAUAGUUAAAGAAAGAAAUUAAUCGUUAGUAACCUCCAACAACAAUUAUGGUUUUGCUCAGAACUUGGUAUUAUUUUGCCGUUAUGUUAGACAACUCUAUAAGUUAAUACAAUUUGUUUGUAAAGACUGAUUUCUUGUAUGUAGUUGAUUAAGAAGAUCCGCAAAUUGAACGAAAUAAAUUUUACAAUACAGAAGCUAAACAAAAACCGAUGUGAAUAAUGUGAAAUGUAAAACGUAUUAUUUAAUAAAUAAUGUUUUGAAUAUUA